rnacentral:rRNA from 1 species
UACAGAGGUCCCAAGCGUUGUUCGGAUUCACUGGGCGUAAAGGGUGCGUAGGUGGUGAGGUAAGUCGGAUGUGAAAUCUCCGAGCUCAACUCGGAAAAUGCAUUGGAAACUACCUUGCUAGAGGAUCGGAGGGGGGACUGGAAUACUUGGUGUAGCAGUGAAAUGCGUAGAUAUCAAGUGGAACACCAGUGGCGAAGGCGG